UACGGGGGGGGCAAGCGUUGUUCGGAAUUACUGGGCGUAAAGGGCUCGUAGGCGGCCAACUAAGUCAGACGUGAAAUCCCUCGGCUUAACCGGGGAACUGCGUCUGAUACUGGAUGGCUUGAGAUUGGGAGAGGGAUGCGGAAUUCCAGGUGUAGCGGUGAAAUGCGUAGAUAUCUGGAGGAACACCGGUGGCGAAGGCGGCAUCCUGGACCAACACUGACACUGAGAGACGAAAGCUAGGGGAGCGAAUGGG
rnacentral:rRNA from 1 species